ACAAAAACCGUUACUGGCCAGCAGUAAUCUCCGUCUCUCGCUGCGGUUUACGCUGUUUUAGGUAAGUUUAGUCGCUAAAGUCACACAAAUAUGAUAUACAAAUGUUUCUGACACGUUUCUUACUUGUUAUUGACAUGUUUCAAUUAAAUUUAUUUUAUAGAAAUGGUUUAGUGUCUUCGAAAAAGUCCGUUAGCAUCUAUCUUAGCAGUUUUCAGGUAAUGUUAGGCUAAUUUUGAGCUCUUGUUGAUGAAACUCUGGGCUUUUCAUCAAAUCGUCGUGUGUGUGAGAUAUUUUGAUGGCUCUGUGAAUGUUUUGCUGGUGAUUUGUCUGUUUUUUUUUUUUUUUUUUUAGAAAAGGCUGAUUUACUGAAUCGAUGACGUCACUUACACUGAGAGUGUAACGUUAAUCGGCUGAAAACAAGUUCACAUGAGUUUUGAUAUUUCAUGAUAAACAGAUAUUAAUACAAAUUGUUCUGUGAUUUCAGGAUGACAGAAAGAAACUAUACAGAACAAAGUGAAACUCCAAGAUUUUUGAAAAGAAAAUUGGUGAAAUAUAUUCUGAAAAAGGCAUAUUAAUGUAUUUCAUGAGCUUCUUCAGUAAAUCUGUAUUUCUAAGUCAGUAUCUCCCUUCAGAAAUGUUGCUGAAGGGAGAUACUGACUUAGAAAUACAGGCAAACUCAUGAAAGAAGCUCAUGAAAUACUCAUGAAAGAAGCUCAUGAAAUACAUUAAUAUGCCUUUUUCAGAAUAUAUUUCACCAAAUUUAAGAAGUCCCUGACAUCAAAACAUUGCUUGUUUUGUUCCUGGACUCUUCAGUGAUGAUGAGCAGAGUCUAAGUGAACCUGCUGUCAGACAAUCACUAUUGCACACCAAAUGCUCUUACUCAGCAGAUGGGGACAGCUACCAUCACCCAAUUUUCACCCAAAAGUGGCUGCGCUAUGCGCCAGACCGGGCAGCAGGGACUGGACGACAACUUAUGCAGGCAUCAGAUGACAAUGAAGUGUAAAUAAAGAGUAGAGAGGCUAAUAAACAUUAAUUUGAUUUUAAA